AUGCAUCACUAUCAUGAUGUGGAAUCCAUGUUAUACCACUUUGUUCACUCGAUAAUUCAGAUAUCCAAUCUGAUAACCAUGUUUCAUAUGGAGAGCUUGGCAAGGCAAAGUCCGAUAAACAGAGAUCAUCAGACACUCAUAUCAUCACCAUCCUGAAAGAAAAGACCCUGUUGGGCCCUUUUCGAUGUACAUUGCAAGUUUCCAGCAGAUGCAGCAUCACCAUCUUGAAUUUGUGCUUUCUUCACUAAAUGUGUCCUCCAGUAGUUCUUGAUCUCAUUAUCAGUUCUUCCUGGCAACACUCUUGCAAUCUUUGACCACCUGCAGAAAAGAUAUGUGACCAUGCUUAAGAUCGGGGCGGAGAUAGUUCAACCACCGCAACCUGCAACUCCUACCACUUCUCCUUAGACCUGCAACACGUGAACAGCUUCUCAGUUUACUUGUUGAAUACAAGCACAAAAUCUGCAUAUCUCCUACUUUCAGUAGGAAUCACCAUACGUACCUGAU